rnacentral:rRNA from 1 species
GACGAACGCUGGCGGCGUGCUUAACACAUGCAAGUCGAGCGGUAAGGCUCCUUCGGGAGUACACGAGCGGCGAACGGGUGAGUAACACGUGAGUAAUCUGCCCUUCACUUCGGGAUAACCGCCGGAAACGGUGGCUAAUACCGGAUACGACGCACUCUCGCAUGGGAUGUGCGUGGAAAGUCUUCUCGGUGAAGGAUGUGCUCGCGGCCUAUCAGCUUGUUUGUGAGGUAACGGCUCACCAAGGCUUCGACGGGUAGCCGGCCUGAGAGGGUGACCGGCAAAACUGGAGAUGAGACACGGCCCAGACUCCUACGGGAGGCAGGAGUGGGGAAUAUUGGACAAUGGGCGAAAGCCUGAUCCAGCAACGCCGCGUGAGGGAUGACGUCCUUCGGGUUGUAAGCCUCUUUCAGUACCGACGAAGCGCCAACAACGGUGGUGACGGUAGGUACAGAAGAAGGACCGGCCAACUACGUGCCAGCCGCCGCGGUAA